rnacentral:rRNA from 1 species
AGUGAACGCUGGCGGUAGGCCUAACACAUGCAAGUCGAACGGCAGCACAGUAAGAGCUUGCUCUUACGGGUGGCGAGUGGCGGACGGGUGAGGAAUACAUCGGAAUCUACUUUUUCGUGGGGGAUAACGUAGGGAAACUUACGCUAAUACCGCAUACGACCUACGGGUGAAAGCAGGGGAUCUUCGGACCUUGCGCGAUUGAAUGCGCCGAUGUCGGAUUAGCUAGUUGGCGGGGUAAAGGCCCACCAAGGCGACGAUCCGUAGCUGGUCUGAGAGGAUGAUCAGCCACACUGGAACUGAGACACGGUCCAGACUCCUACGGGAGGCAGCAGUGGGGAAUAUUGGACAAUGGGCGCAAGCCUGGUCCAGCCAUACCGCGUGGGUGAAGAAGGCCUUCGGGUUGUAAAGCCCUUUUGUUGGUAAAGAAAAGCAGCAGGUUAAUACCCCGCUGUUCUGACGGUACCCAAAGAAUAAGCACCGGCUAACUUCGUG